rnacentral:rRNA from 1 species
CUCUCUUCAAACCUGUGGACCUGUACCUGUUGUAUCCAACGCCGUUCUUUCGGCGGGCCCACCGGCGCUCCGGGCCGACCCUUCGGGGAGUCUCGGCGCGCAGGCGGCCCGCCGGAGGCGGCGCAACCAAACCCUUACUGUAUUUUCAGGCCUCUGUGAUUACAAAACAAAUAAGUCAAAACUUUCAACAAUGGAUCUCUUGGUUCUGGCAUCGAUGAAGAACGCAGCGAAAUGCGAUAAGUAAUGUGAAUUGCAGAAUUCAGCGAAUCAUCGAAUCUUUGAACGCACAUUGCGCCCGCCAGUAUUCUGGCGGGCAUGCCUGUUCGAGCGUCAUUUCAACCCUCAAGCACUGCUUGGUGUUGGGGCCUGCGGCGAGCAAUCGCCGCACCCCCUAAAAUCAGUGGCGGGCCCGCCUGGAUCCCGAGCGUAGUAGCACAUCUCGCUCGCGGAGCCCACGCGCGACACGCCGUAAAACCCCCGAAUUUUACAAGGUUGACCUCGGAUCAGGUAGGAAUACCCGCUGAACUUAAGCAUAUCAAUAAGCGGAGGAAAAGAAACCAACAGGGAUUGCCCCAGUAACGGCGAGUGAAGCGGCAAUAGCUCAAAUUUGAAAUCUGGCCUCGGCCCGAGUUGUAAUUUGCAGAGGAUGCUUUUGGUGCGGUGCCUUCUGAGUCCCCUGGAAUGGGGCGCCAGAGAGGGUGAGAGCCCCGUCUAGUUGGACACCUAGCCUGUGUAAAGCUCCUUCGACGAGUCGAGUAGUUUGGGAAUGCUGCUCAAAAUGGGAGGUAAAUUCCUUCUAAAGCUAAAUACUGGCCAGAGACCGAUAGCGCACAAGUAGAGUGAUCGAAAGAUGAAAAGCACUUUGAAAAGAGAGUCAAAUAGCACGUGAAAUUGUUGAAAGGGAAGCGCUUGUGACCAGACUUGCGCCGGGCUGAUCAUCCAGGGGUUCCCCUGGUGCACUCGGCCCGGCUCAGGCCAGCAUCGGUUUCUGCAGGGGGAUAAAAGCGCCGGGAACGUAGCUCCUCCGGGAGUGUUAUAGCCCGGCGCACAAUACCCUUGCGGGGACCGAGGUCUGCGCCCUG